rnacentral:rRNA from 1 species
AGCGAACGCUGGCGGCAGGCUUAACACAUGCAAGUCGAGCGGGCAUCCUUGUGGUGUCAGCGGCAGACGGGUGAGUAACGCGUGGGAACGUGCCCUUCGGUUCGGAAUAACUCAGGGAAACUUGAGCUAAUACCGGAUACGUGCGAGAGCAGAAAGGUUUAUCUGCCGAAGGAUCGGCCCGCGUCUGAUUAGCUAGUUGGUGAGGUUAUGGCUCACCAAGGCGACGAUCAGUAGCUGGUCUGAGAGGAUGAUCAGCCACACUGGGACUGAGACACGGCCCAGACUCCUACGGGAGGCAGCAGUGGGGAAUAUUGGACAAUGGGGGCAACCCUGGUCCAGCCAUGCCGCGUGAGUGAUGACGGCCUUAGGGUUGUAAAGCUCUUUUCUCCGGGACGAUAAUGACGGUACCGGAGGAAUAAGCCCCGGCUAACUUCGUG